UACGAACUGUGCAAACGUUAUUCGGAAUCACUGGGCUUAAAGGGUGCGUAGGCGGCCAUUUAAGUCGGGCGUGAAAUCCCACGGCUCAACCGUGGAAGUGCACUCGAAACUGGAUGGCUAGAGUCCUGGAGAGGAAGGUGGAAUGCUUGGUGUAGAGGUGAAAUUCGUAGAUAUCAAGCGGAACACCGGUGGCGAAGGCGGCCUUCUGGACAGUGACUGACGCUGAGACGCGAAAGCGUGGGGAGCAAACAGG
rnacentral:rRNA from 1 species